AGUGGAAGGGAUUGGAACAAGAUGAGAUUCCCUUCCAACCCAAACCAUUCUGGGAUUCUGUGAUUUUUAGGAGAGUGGACUAAAGUCUAAUCCCUGUGACUUUGCAUGUAUGCUCAAGAGCUCCUGAUCAGGAAUAAGCCUUUAAAAAAUUCUCUAGUUUGUGGCUUUCCUACAGAACUUGAAAUGUUGUUAUUGAUUCUUUAGGACUUGAGGCCUAGUUAAAAUUAAAAACCUCUCAGCUAUAUUAAUUUAUGGUUGCUGGGCAGUGAUAUUUGCAAAUAUAUUCUGGUUGUACAUUACAAAAAUGCUGACUCGUUUCAUACACCUGUAUGUCUUUCUUGCUUCCAUAAGGACAAUAGCUUCUUUGGCUGAAACAUCCUGUUCAGAGGGUUACAAUAAAACACUUUGCACUUGAAUUGUUUGCCUUCCUGACCCCUCAGCUUUCUGCCAGCUUCUGACUGUGCACGCAAGUGAGAGCUUUGUACUGUUUGUCCUUGGGGCUGCAUUCACCGAGUGUUCACUGGCUGUACUGGAGCCUGGUAGCUCCCAGUUUGCUUUUUCUUCUUUUUAGUUUUCUCCCUCUGAAGCUGCAUCACUGCUUUCACUCAUGGUCCUAGUGAAAAAUCAGAAUGUUAAUUAAGAAUGGUAACAGUGGGAAGUCUCUGGAGGACAAACAGAGACCUGGUUGCCUCUAUCCCAAAGAAGAACUGUGCUGGGUUGUGCCAGGGGAGGAAAGGGAGACCUGGAAAUCCUCUUGUGAUGAAGCAUCAGGAAUUGCUGUUAUGCCACCACAGCUGGAAGAGGCUGCUCCUUGGCUGAAGUGUGUUCUUCAGCCUCCUGCAUCCCUGCCGUGGUCAUUAAGGGAUGCUGUAAUCAGGAACACCAGAACACAGCAGCAGCAGCAGCCCGAGGGCACCAACAGCCUGGGGAACAGGCCUGCUCCCACUCAUCCCUGGCUGUGAGGAAUGCACUUCCUGUCCUCCCUGCUGCGAGACAGUGGUGUUUGCUCCCGCAGCUGAGUGGAGUGCAUGGAGAGAGCUGUCUGACCUGGAUGACACCACCAAAGUGCAAGGACUGGCAUUGAUGACAGAAAUGAAGUUUUCUAGCUCUUGAAUCUGGAGAGAAUAUGGUGAAAAGAAGAUGAGGGCAGUCUGCACUGAUCAGAAUUUUUGGGGACUUCUGCAAGUGCAGCAUAUGGUGUGUCUCUGAUGCGUGGGAUGAUCACGAUACCUGGGAGGGAGUAAAGAGAGGGAGCUGCAGCAGCAAGCAGAUAAUGUGAAUGCUAUUUAAGGGCAGGUUACAGAAUUACCUGAUUUUUAGCUGAACUGCUUCAACCCAAGUGCUCCCUCAUGAGAUCUGUGUGGGGGUGGAUCUUCAGUGCCUAGCUCUCCCCCUUAGUGCAGGGAGCUAACUGCCUGUGCCUGCUCUCCUUGGAGCCUAGAAGAGCCUAGGGCUCACCAGAAGGGAUCUGGGGGACAGGGAUUGUAUCAGGAGUGCAAGAAGAGCUUUAUUUUACUCCCUAGUGCAGCAGGAUUUGCCUUAAUGGGUGGGUGAAAGGAGAGCCGGGGCAGCUGAGGCCGCUCUGUGUGCAUGCUGCCUUUGAAAACAGAGCACGUCACUGCUCCCAGCUCCUGUUUCAUAUUCUGCUGGAAGCUUCUGGUUGCAAUGCUAAUUUCAGCAAAUCUCUGACAAUUUAAGGGGGAGAGGUUUGUGUAUAAUAUCUGUAGUAUGACCUGUUUCUACUAAGGAAAUCAUCAUAAUUAAAAUACAAGGACAUGA